rnacentral:misc_RNA from 1 species
UCCAGCUUAUCGCUGGCGGUCUCCUGCGAGUGCCGCCUUGCGGCAUGGCAACACAGGACAAGGGUUGCGCUCGUUGCGGGACUUAACCCAACAUCUCACGACACGAGCUGACGACAGCCAUGCAGCACCUCGACUCCACCCCCUUGCGGGGUACCGAUAUUUCUACCGGCGUUGAGAAGCCGUUCGAGCCCAGGUAAGGUUCUUCGCGUUGCGUCGAAUUAAACCACAUGCUCCACCGCUUGUGCGGGCCCCCGUCAAUUCCUUUGAGUUUCAGCCUUGCGACUGUACUCCCCAGGCGGCAUAUUUAACGCGUUAGCUCCGGCACGGACAGAAUGAACUGCCCACACCAAAUAUGCAUCGUUUAGGGCGUGGACUAC